rnacentral:rRNA from 1 species
GAUGAACGCUAGCUACAGGCUUAACACAUGCAAGUCGAGGGGCAGCAUGGUCUUAGCUUGCUAAGGCCGAUGGCGACCGGCGCACGGGUGAGUAACACGUAUCCAACCUGCCGUCUACUCUUGGACAGCCUUCUGAAAGGAAGAUUAAUACAAGAUGGCAUCAUGAGUCCGCAUGUUCACAUGAUUAAAGGUAUUCCGGUAGACGAUGGGGAUGCGUUCCAUUAGAUAGUAGGCGGGGUAACGGCCCACCUAGUCUUCGAUGGAUAGGGGUUCUGAGAGGAAGGUCCCCCACAUUGGAGCUGAGACACGGUCCAAACUCCUACGGGAGGCAGCAGUGAGGAAUAUUGGUCAAUGGGCGCAGGCCUGAACCAGCCAAGUAGCGUGAAGGAUGACUGCCCUAUGGGUUGUAAACUUCUUUUAUAAAGGAAUAAAGUCGGGUAUGUAUACCCGUUUGCAUGUACUUUAUGAAUAAGGAUCGGCUAACUCCGUG